AUUGAACGCUGGCGGCAGGCCUAACACAUGCAAGUCGGACGGUAGCACAGAGAGCUUGCUCUUGGGUGACGAGUGGCGGACGGGUGAGUAAUGUCUGGGGAUCUGCCCGAUAGAGGGGGAUAACCACUGGAAACGGUGGCUAAUACCGCAUAACGUCGCAUGACCAAAGAGGGGGACCUUCGGGCCUCUCACUAUCGGAUGAACCCAGAUGGGAUUAGCCAGUAGGCGGGGUAAUGGCCCACCUAGGCGACGAUCCCUAGCUGGUCUGAGAGGAUGACCAGCCACACUGGAACUGAGACACGGUCCAGACUCCUACGGGAGGCAGCAGUGGGGAAUAUUGCACAAUGGGCGCAAGCCUGAUGCAGCCAUGCCGCGUGUAUGAAGAAGGCCUUCGGGUUGUAAAGUACUUUCAGCGGGGAGGAAGGCGGUGAGGUUAAUAACCUUGCCGAUUGACGUUACCCGCAGAAGAAGCACCGGCUAACUCCGUGCCAGCAGCCGCCGCAG
rnacentral:rRNA from 1 species